UAAAAGAUAGUUUCUGAUUUCCCUCCUCUGUUCUGCGUUUUUUCUCUCGCCAAGAAAAGAAACUCGUUCCUGGUAAACAUUCUCCUCCCAAAUCCUAUGUUAUCAUUUAAUAAACCCUUUGUAAUUGAGCUAUGGUUUGGGCCAUGGAAGGUCUUCGAAAAAUGGGGGCGAAAAUGUCAGAAAAAUCUGAAUUUAAACUCAUAAUCGAUCACAGCAACAGAAAAAGUUACGUUAGGGGUGAAGACGUGGUGCUGAAGUGAAAGGGUGUGCUUCUUUGAUUGGUCUGUUUGAUCUUAAGAGUCUUAAUGAAUACCUGUGAUAUGACUCGAUGGCGAAGAAGCUGGGAGGAUUGAUCUUGGGAGUGAACAGGGCCAUGAGCAUGACCAUGCGUUGCAUGUGUGUGAAGUUCCACAUGCCCUUCGUGCCCGGUCUCUUUCUCCACAUCCCCGCUCUCAAUCUGUACUUCAUUGGAAUGGUGUUUCUGAAAAUAAGCAGUGGCAUAAGUAUCCACCAUGAGAGUCCCCAUGGCAGUGCACAUUGCAACAAAGCCAGUGAAGGGAAAAUCUCCCCAUGGAUGCUCCUUCAAGCAAGGUGAGGUCAGAUUCUCAAAAGCAUCGGGCAACACGUGGAUGAACCCAGUUGCCAGGAUCACUCCUGCAGCAAAAGCCUUUAUCAGGAAGAAAAUAUUUUUUUCCGGACUCAACGCAGGUAUCACUUUUCCUAGGAGAGGAAUACACACUCCAAUUGCACUCGCAAUUAAUAUUGAUACCAAAGCUGCUAUUUUGUAUCUCAAAGCUUUUGUUCUGUCACGAUCUUCGUUUUCUUCGUCACAAGUACAUUCUGCUGCAACUAAGGUCGGAAGUACAACCAAAAAGACGAAAAUAGAAGAAGAAAACAAAAACUGUCUGUUUAUCUUGAAUCUACCCAUUAUAACCAAAGGAGAAGAAUGAGAGAAAUUUGAAGAAAGAGAAAAGUAGACUGGAGUGAGAAAAAACUUCCCAGAAUGAUUUAAAUAGGAAACUGUGUUAUCUAAUUAAUUUUAAUUAAUGUAUAUAAUUUUCAUUAUAAA